GACGUAGGGGGCGAGCGUUGUCCGGAUUUAUUGGGCGUAAAGCGCGCGUAGGCGGCUGCGCAAGUCGGGUGUGAAACCCCGGGGCUCAACCCCGGAACUGCAUCCGAUACUGCGUGGCUAGAGGUAGGUAGGGGAGAUCGGAAUUCCUGGUGUAGCGGUGAAAUGCGCAGAUAUCAGGAGGAACACCGGUGGCGAAGGCGGAUCUCUGGGCCUUACCUGACGCUCAGGCGCGAAAGCUAGGGGAGCGAACAGG
rnacentral:rRNA from 1 species